UACGUAGGCAGCAAGCGUUGUUCGGAGUUACUGGGCGUAAAGGGUGUGUAGGCGGUUCUUUAAGUUUGGUGUGAAAUCUCCCGGCUCAACUGGGAGGGUGCGCCGAAUACUGAGGGACUAGAGUACGGGAGAGGAAAGUGGAAUUCCUGGUGUAGCGGUGAAAUGCGCAGAUAUCGGGAAGAACACCCAUGGCGAAGGCAGCUCUCUGGGACGGUACUGACGCUGAGACGCGAAAGCGUGGGGAGCGAACAGG
rnacentral:rRNA from 1 species